rnacentral:rRNA from 1 species
UACGUAGGGUGCGAGCGUUGUCCGGAAUUACUGGGCGUAAAGAGCUCGUAGGUGGUUUGUCGCGUUGUUCGUGAAAUCUCACGGCUUAACUGUGAGCGUGCGGGCGAUACGGGCAGACUAGAGUACUGCAGGGGAGACUGGAAUUCCUGGUGUAGCGGUGGAAUGCGCAGAUAUCAGGAGGAACACCGAUGGCGAAGGCAGGUCUCUGGGCCGAUACUGACGCUGAGGAGCGAAAGCGUGGGGAGCGAACAGG